AAAGUGGAACCUAGUCGCGGACCUGAUCACUUCGGUGAGACGUAAAGCAUAUGGCUAGAGUGGCGAACGGGUGAGUAACACGUGGACAACCUGCCUCUAAGCAGGGGAUAACAUUUGGAAACAGAUGCUAAUACCGUAUAACAACACAUUUCGCAUGAAGUGUGUUUAAAAGGGGCUUCGGCCUCACUUAGAGAUGGAUCCGCGGUGCAUUAGUUAGUUGGUGAGGUAAAGGCUUACCAAGACGAUGAUGCAUAGCCGAGUUGAGAGACUGAUCGGCCACAUUGGGACUGAGACACGGCCCAAACUCCUACGGGAGGCUGCAGUAGGGAAUCUUCCACAAUGGGCGCAAGCCUGAUGGAGCAACGCCGCGUGUGUGAUGAAGGCUUUCGGGUCGUAAAGCACUGUUGUAUGGGAAGAAUAGUUAAUGUAGGAAAUGAUGUUAAUGUGACGGUACCAUACCAGAAAGGGACGGCUAAAUACGUGCCAGC
rnacentral:rRNA from 1 species